UACGUAGGGGGCUAGCGUUGUCCGGAAUCAUUGGGCGUAAAGCGCGCGUAGGCGGCCAGAUAAGUCCGGUGUGAAAGUCACAGGCUCAACCUGUGAAUGCCGCUGGAAACUGUCUGGCUAGAGUCCGGAAGGGGCGAGUGGAAUUCCUGGUGUAGCGGUGAAAUGCGCAGAUAUCAGGAGGAACACCGGUGGCGAAGGCGGAUCUCUGGGCCUUGCCUGACGCUGAGGCGCGAAAGCUAGGGGAGCGAACGGG
rnacentral:rRNA from 1 species